CCUACGGGAGGCAGCAGUGGGGAAUAUUGGACAAUGGGCGCAAGCCUGAUCCAGCCAUACCGCGUGGGUGAAGAAGGCCUUCGGGUUGUAAAGCCCUUUUGUUGGGAAAGAAAUCCAGCUGGUUAAUACCCGGUUGGGAUGACGGUACCCAAAGAAUAAGCACCGGCUAACUUCGUGCCAGCAGCCGCGGUAAUACGAAGGGUGCAAGCGUUACUCGGAAUUACUGGGCGUAAAGCGUGCGUAGGUGGUCGUUUAAGUCUGUUGUGAAAGCCCUGGGCUCAACCUGGGAACUGCAGUGGAAACUGGACGACUAGAGUGUGGUAGAGGGUAGCGGAAUUCCUGGUGUAGCAGUGAAAUGCGUAGAGAUCAGGAGGAACAUCCAUGGCGAAGGCAGCUACCUGGACCAACACUGACACUGAGGCACGAAAGCGUGGGGAGCAAACAGGAUUAGAUACCCUGGUAGUCCACGCCCUAAACGAUGCGAACUGGAUGUUGGGUGCAAUUUGGCACGCAGUAUCGAAGCUAACGCGUUAAGUUCGCCGCCUGGGGAGUACGGUCGCAAGACUGAAACUCAAAGGAAUUGACGG
rnacentral:rRNA from 1 species